ACUGAACGCUGGCGGCAUGCCUUACACAUGCAAGUCGAACGGCAGCGGGGGAGAAGCUUGCUUUUCCUGCCGGCGAGUGGCGAACGGGUGAGUAAUACAUCGGAACGUGCCCUGUAGUGGGGGAUAACUAGUCGAAAGAUUAGCUAAUACCGCAUACGACCUGAGGGUGAAAGUGGGGGACCGCAAGGCCUCAUGCUAUAGGAGCGGCCGAUGUCUGAUUAGCUAGUUGGUGGGGUAAAGGCCUACCAAGGCGACGAUCAGUAGCUGGUCUGGGAGGACGAUCAGCCACACUGGGACUGAGACACGGCCCAGACGCCUACGGGAGGGAGCAGUGGGGAAUUUUGGACAAUGGGCGGAAGCCUGAUCCAGCAAUGCCGCGUGAGUGAAGAAGGCCUUCGGGUUGUAAAGCACUUUUGUCCGGAAAGAAAUGGCUCUGGUUAAUACCUGGGGUCGAUGACGGUACCGGAAGAAUAAGGACCGGCUAACUACGUGCCAGCCGCCGCCGUAA
rnacentral:rRNA from 1 species